UACUUCUUCAAAAAGUCUGGUUUUUGCAAGGGACAGUAGUAGGCAGUAGAAAACAGAAAUUGAUUGGCUCGUCACUGUUGCUCUACUUCCAUUUCAGGUCCAAGGAGAAAACUGUUCCACAGAGAGUUGCAAAGGGGCCAGACGCAAAUCAAGAAGGAAGAUGUUAAACUUUUGUGAUUACGACGAUUUAAACGAAAGAUGACAGAACGUGGGGGAGGGGGUAACACCGAAGUACGCAAGUGAAGCUUCAGGGAAAAGGUCCACUCCCCGAAGCAAAGGAGGGAGUGGAGAACGAACCGGUCUGGCCAAGCGACAAACCCUGAAUGCUGACCGAGCCAGGAGGGGCAGGGCCGCGGAGCCCGCGAAGUGAGACCUCGGGCAAACUGCAGGGGUGCAGCAAGGGGCAGUACGGCGGAGGAGCAGCGCUGCCACAGAGCAGAGUGUAAGGGGACACCGGAAGGGACGGAACAUCACUUCUGCCACGAUAAUGCCAGAGACAAAGUUUAUGACAGAAUUGCCUUCCUCUUGGCCUUCUCAAGUCCAUUUGGAUAUGAAUCAGUUUGUUUGCUAGCAAGGGAAGCAAAAGUGGAAAAUGAAACUCAGACUCGAUUAAUGAGAGCAACUGUGACGGCAAGUGACCUAUGCAGAGAUACAUCAAUCUCUUUGACGAAAAGAUGCUCAGGAAAACUAUUUUUCCUGGAAUUGAAAAACUGGAUCUGCUGGCAGGCAGCUCCUAAACUGAAGGUACUUAAGACCCAGGACACAAAGAGCCUGCAGCACAGGAGAAUGAGACCCAAAAGCUGUGCCAAGUCCAGCUGA
rnacentral:lncRNA from 1 species